rnacentral:rRNA from 1 species
UACGAAGGGGGCUAGCGUUGCUCGGAAUCACUGGGCGUAAAGCGCACGUAGGCGGAUGUGCCAGUCAGGGGUGAAAUCCCGGAGCUCAACUCCGGAACUGCCUCUGAUACAGCACGUCUUGAGUUCGAGAGAGGUGGGUGGAAUUCCUAGUGUAGAGGUGAAAUUCGUAGAUAUCGGGAGGAACACCGGUGGCGAAGGCGGCGACCUGGGUCGAUACUGACGCUGAUGCGCGAAAGCUAGGGGAGCGAACGGG